rnacentral:rRNA from 1 species
GACGAACGCUGGCGGCGUGCUUAACACAUGCAAGUCGAACGGAAAGGCCCUGCUUUUGUGGGGUGCUCGAGUGGCGAACGGGGGAGUAACACGUGAGUAACAUGCACUUGACUUUGGGAUAACUUCAGGAAACAGGGGCUAAUACCGGAUAGGAGAUCCUGAUGCAUGGUGGGGGUUGGAAAGAUUCGGCGGUUGGGGAUGGAUUCGAGGCUUAUCAGCUUGUUGGUGAGGUAGUGGCUGACAAAGGCUUUGAAGGGUAGCCGGCCUGAGAGGGUGACCGGCCACAUUGGGACUGAGAGACGGACCAGACUCGUACGGGAGGCAGCAGUGGGGAAUAUUACGCAAUGGGCGGAAGCCUGAUGCAGCAACGCCGCGUGCGGGAUGACGGCCUUCGGGUUGUAAACCGCUUUCUCCUGUGACGAAGAGUGAGUGACGGUAAUGGGUAAAGAAGCACCGGCUAACUACGUG